GGCUUAUAAUUGAAGUCUAGUAUGAAUGGGAGCUCGGGGAUAUUCUGUCCUUUAUUUACGAUUAGAAAUUACUAAUUAAGUGAAAAUUCUUAAACCUUUAGAAAAAAGACGAGAAGACCCUAGAAAUUUUUUAUUAUAUAUUUUGUUGGGGCGACAAGGUAACAUAAAACUUACCUAUACAAUAGGAAAUUUUUUAGUUGGGUAAAUAAAUUACUCUAGGGAUAACAGCAUAAUAUUUUAAAGUUUGUGACCUCGAUGUUGGACUAGGA
rnacentral:rRNA from 1 species